GACGAACGCUGGCGGCGUGCUUAACACAUGCAAGUCGAACGGAAAGGCCCUGCUUUUGUGGGGUGCUCGAGUGGCGAACGGGUGAGUAACACGUGAGUAACCUGCCCUUGACUUUGGGAUAACUUCAGGAAACUGGGGCUAAUACCGGAUAUGAGCUCCUGCUGCAUGGUGUGGGUUGGAGAGUUUCGGCGGUUGGGGAUGGACUCGCGGCUUAUCAGCUUGUUGGUGGGGUAGUGGCUUACGAAGGCUUUGACGGGUAGCCGGCCUGAGAGGGUGACCGGCCACAUUGGGACUGAGAUACGGCGCAGAAUCCUACGGGAGGCAGCAGUGGGGAAUAUUGCACAAUGGGCGGAAGCCUGAUGCAGCAACGCCGCGUGCGGGAUGACGGCCUUCGGGUUGUAAACCGCUUUCGCCUGUGACGAAGCGUGAGUGACGGUAAUGGGUAAAGAAGCACCGGCUAACUACGUG
rnacentral:rRNA from 1 species